UGGAAUUGUCAAGCUUUUGCAGGUGUCCGU
rnacentral:piRNA from 1 species